CUUUUUGAGUGUCAAUUUAUUACUUUAAUUAAAAAAAUAUUUUGAAUUCCUUUCCGCACAUCCAGUCCAAUCACCCGUCACUUGCUUGGGACGACACCCCCACGUUCCUCUCUCCUCCUUAUAUUACAUCCAUGUACUCCUCUGCCACCCACAAACACACUCGCUCUUUGCCUCUUGAGAGAUCUCUUUGAUAUGUACGAUGUUGGGUUCUGAAUUCUCAGCCGGGUGUGAUGCCAGUCCCAAGCCAUUGCCCAGUUGGAAACCCAGCCACGUGGAGCCGUCUCCCCCCUGCCCUCGCUGUGCUUCUUCCAACACCAAGUUCUGUUACUACAACAACUACAGCUUAUCCCAGCCUCGCUACCUGUGUAAAUCUUGCCGUCGCUACUGGACCAAAGGCGGUUUCCUCCGCAACGUCCCCAUCGGCGGCGCUGCCCGUAAAUCCCGCCGUACUAAGGCCCCUAGCCUCCCGCCAAACCACCGUCUUUCCAGUUCCACCAACCUUACUCCUAACUCCGCCAAAGACUCCGAGGCUCAUGAUCCGUCCCAAGCCAAUGGGUCGCACAUCGACAUGGCCCUCGUCUUCGCCAACUACUUGAGCUCCGGUCAUGAUUCUAAUGCCGACAACGAUGCUCCUCAGCCGUCCGAUCCCGUCACGGAUGUGGUGCCAGAGGGAGAGAGGCUUCUUCCUCGGGACGAGUCGGUGACGAGUGGAAUUGAGCCGGAGUGGGAAAGCUUGUUAGGUGGCGGCGGUGGACAAGUGGUCCACGAUGUUUUCUGCUUGUCUGAUGCUACGACGUCGUCCUCGUCCGUCACCUGGCAGCCGCCUCUGAUGCAGUUGCAGGAGGAAUUGGAGAAUCCCUUGCCCUUCAAUUAUGACGAGGAUGCUCUUUCUCAAUUGCCCAUCGCCGAUUCCUGGAACUGGAAUUCCUUCGAUUUUUCGACUUUGCAGCUUUAUUUUCUGGACCCAAAACCUAAGUGAUCAGAGAAGUUGCAGAUAGCCGUAAGAAGGCCUAGUAUGUCCGUCGCUUUAAAGUCACGUUGUUUGGUUAUAAGGCAAACAAGUUGCUCCAGUUUUUUCCUUUCUUGGGGAUCAUGGUUGAUACUUGUACGCUGACACACAGCCUCUGCAUUAGUUUGUGACAGGACUGAUAAUAGUACAAUGUUGGGAUAUUGUGGAAGCGACAAGAACCGGACCCUUCAAUCCUCAUCAAUUAUAAGUCACAGGAAUGUGUUGCUUACAACCCCCCAAGACCCUAAUUGGUGGUAUUAUUGCUCAGCUCAAGCCAUUAUUGCUCGCUCUCCUCUCUUCCUACCUCCAAAUGUUACGGACAAAAACCUCUUUCUAUCACCAAUCACAAAUCACAAAUCACCAUUCGUGAACAUGAUUUCCGAGACUUUAAUUUGAUCAUUCAUGUACAUACUCUUCCUCUGAAGCACAGUAAGAAUCCCUUUCUUCUAUUUAAUUGAGACGUAAAAGUAGGGAAGAAAAAGUGCCAGAGGACUCACUUUUAGUGCCAGAAUGUUGUCCAUAUAUGGAUAACACCGCGUAGAGCAGGAUCUAAGGGCUAAAUAUAGUAGAUAUCUGAAUUAUUGAGACACGCACGAGAUAUAAAGUAAUGCAAAUGUCAACCUGUCAAAUGUCAGCUUAUAGGUCUAGUCACGACACCGAGGAGUAUUAUUGGCAGUAUUAUUAAAGACAGUGGGAAGUUAAUCAUGGUGAUGAUGUGAAGUGAUGAUUAUUUUUU